CGCUCAGCGGAGCGAGCGGGCCGCGUGGGUGAGCGAGAGAAAAGAAAAGGGGAGGCGAGCGGCCAGACCUAGCCCCCGCCGCCGCAACACCUGCCGCCGCCUCCUCUCCUACCGCCGCCGCCUCUUCGUCGGUGCUAUCGAAGCCUGGGCUACGUGAGCGCGCAAGCUGCUGGUGGUGCUUGAGGCAAGGCUGCUGGGGCACGGUGCCUCCACGGGGCCGGGGACAGGUACGCGCGCUCGCCGCGGCGGGAACGAGAGUUGUCCCCACUCCUUCUGUUCCUCAUCGCCGGCGUCCUCUCAGCCUUGGCCUCAUUGCUCACGGGAGAGAGAGAGAGAGAGAGGAGGAGAAGGAGGCGGCGGCGGCCGCCGCGGCCAGAAGGAAUAAGGGGGUUGGGGCGUUGGUCCUCCGCGACAACAUCCAGCCUUCUCCUCGUCGCAGUCGCGUGGUCCUCGACGACGACUCCCUUGCGCUCCUCCUCCUCCGCAUCGACAGGACUCUCUCUAGCCUCUCGCUCCACCUCCUCGCACACUCCUGCAGGUGUAGAGGAGCAAGUUUUGGUUGGAAUUGAAAUUCCUGAAAGCAAGGCAACUGAAUGGAUUAAAGCUCGAAAGCUCAUACCUGGAUGGUUUUUGUCACACCAAAAUGAAGUAUAAGAAAACCUUAUAAAAGAAGAUACAUACCUGUCUGGGCGUCCUUGCUAUCGUCGUUUCCAACCCAUCCGCAGGGUCUGCCACUCUUGGGUGCCCUUUUGGGUAAUGGUCUAGCUGUUUCCUUGCAUCCAUGCUGCUGCAGGGUUGUAGUCGUACCCGUGUCCAUGGUUAUCACUCAUCAACUUGGUCGUGCUCAUGUGGACUAUUUAUUUCCAACAAUGCCAUCAAACCAUCAGAGGUUCCUCGCCGGUUUCCUUUUGCUGCACCUUUGUUUGGUUGCUCUAGGGUGAGAGGACCUCUCUGCGUCUGUAUGCUGAUUUGGUCAUGGAAUUCGAGCCUCAUUUACUGCACCUCUGGUUUGUGUAUUUUCAUGGAAUGCCACUCUCAAAUUAGUUUAGCUUUGUCCACACAUAUUAUGAUGUUUUGUGUCUAUUGCUGCCUUUGGCAUAUUUAAUCAUCUAUGUGUCUGCCAUGAAUUUAACAUGAAUAUAUUCCUGUUUUUUGUUACUUCUCUUGGCUUGGAUCACUAUGUUUGUUCUACCUUUGCCUUUCAAUACAUCAAGGUGAGCUUCACACAUCGUUCCCUCUGUUAUUAUAUUCAGGCAAUGAAGGAUCAGUACACGCCCAAUCUUCUGUGGCCUCCUCUCAUAAGAACUUCUACAUCGCUGUAUGAAAAUAGCUUUUCUUUGUCCAUGUGAUUAUUUGGGGAUUUUUGCCCAUAAAAAUAGCUUCUGAUGCCAAUACCGAGAUGUUAUUGAUGCAUGUGAGCCACUCUAAUUGACUGUAUUUUAGAAAUCGUGUACCCCACGAUUUUGGAAACCAUGUAAAUGAGUUAAUUGAGGACUGUAAGAUCCCUUAUCAGAUUAUAUCAUUUGUUGCUAACUCAUGUUCCUUCAAACGCUUGCAGGGUUGGAUUGGAUAUUCACAGAACUUUAUACCAUAUACUUUGGGCAUUGCUGAAACAACUGAAUGUCAAAGGUGCUUAUGGGUUGUCCUACAAUUUGUGUGGAUGUAUUUAGGUGUGGCGUUUAUGGUAGCUGCAGCAGCUUGUCAAUUAGUUCUUAGUCAAGGACAGGCACCAAUACAUGCUACCACUUAAUUCAGGUCAUGGUACCACUUAAUUCAGGCCAUUGUACCUGCAACGUCCGGUCUUCAUGGGAAUGCGUACCGUCGUCGAAUCCUAUUGACCCGCACUCGAUCCCGACCGUCGAUUGGGGUCGAUGAACCCGGUACACGGGACACGGCGUCGACCCGCGUUCCCGGCUACUAUGGUCUUAACGCGAGGAGGUGCCGAGAUACACGAGGGGUUGGAGCAGGACUGCAAGAGGAGUUGAGGACAUGUUUUGUUUUAGAUCCACCUGAUUAGUCCCAAGUUUUUGCAAGGUCUGCUUCUUAUGCAGAGGUUUCUUUUGAUGGGCAGCCUAGCCAAUUAAUUAUGUUUGGAUCACUCUGGGCAAUUCUCUCUGGAGUUGAGAGUACUCUGAGCACUGCCCAUAGCGUGCCACGACGACCGUUUGCACUAUAGGAGCCUCGCGACACAGUCCUCAUAUGAGAAGUGGGGAUUCCACCAGCAUUCUCACAAAUAGGUACUAUUCAUUUUGCUUCAGAGAGAUGUCGGUUGAUGCUGCGUUUAACUGGAUUUGGAAAGCUAAGUGCAAUAUGAAAUGGAAAGGUUUUCGCCUGGCUUCUCUUGGCUAACAGGCUGAAUAUGAGAAAUAUGCCACGCAGGAGGCACUACCGAGUUACUAAUGACUAUACAUGCCUGCUGUGUGAUAAUCCUCCCGAGGAAACCCUGGCAAUUCUCUAGGGUGACUUGGCCAAACUCUGAAUGCAGACUUGAGAUGUUGCACAUGGGAAAACAAACUUGGCACAAACCUCUGUUCAUGGAAACUUUCAUUGUUGCCGUAUGGGGGAUCUGGAUGGAGAGAAAUGACAAGUCCUUCAGAGGAAUGCCCAUGCAAGCAUUAUCCAACAAUAACAAGUCUUCUUAUUCAUGCAUGCACACCCUUAGAAGACCACAAUGGGCCUAAGAAAUCUUCUCUGCUCAAAUUAUGUAUGCUUAUCUAUAUGAGGCAUCUCUCCUAUGUUGCUUGCUUUUUAAAAGCAUUGUAAAUGGCUAUCAAAACUUCUUAUAACGCUGUGUAUCAGCAUCAUACCUAAGUAUAUAUUUCCUUAUAACUAAAUAUUCUGACGAGCUUGCUUCAAAUGCUUGGU